CCACAUGACGAACAGGUCCAGCACGGUCUGUCCAGUGUGCAGUACUUCCGCCCAGGUAUGUAUCGACCUGAUGACCGAGGACGGCUACACUCAUCUGCACCUAGUGCCAAUUUUCACCGGCCUGGUUCAUCUCAGUCGUAUGAG